ensembl:snRNA U1 U1 spliceosomal RNA
ACAUUAACCUAGCAGGGAGAACACCAUGAUCGGGAAGGUGGUUUUCCCAGGGCAAGGCUCAUUUACACGCACUCCGGUGUGCUGACCCCUGUGAUUUCCCCAAAUGCAGGAAACUAAAUUGCAUAAGUAGUGGGCAGGCGAGGGGGAAUUUUUUUUUUUUUUUU